AGUGAACGCUGGCGGUAGGCCUAACACAUGCAAGUCGAACGGCAGCACAGUAAGAUCUUGCUCUUACGGGUGGCGAGUGGCGGACGGGUGAGGAAUACAUCGGAAUCUACUUUUUCGUGGGGGAUAACGUAGGGAAACUUACGCUAAUACCGCAUACGACCUACGGGUGAAAUCAGGAGAUCUUCGGACCUUGCCCGAUUGAAUGAGCCGAUGUCGGAUUAGCUAGUUGGUGGGGUAAAGGCCCACCAAGGCGACGAUGCGUAGCUGGUCUGAGAGGAUGAUCAGCCACACUGGAACUGAGACACGGUCCAGACUCCUACGGGAGGCAGCAGUGGGGAAUCUUGGGCAAUGGGCGAAAGCCUGAUCCAGCAAUACCGCGUGGGUGAAGAAGGCCUUCGGGUUGUAAAGCUCUUUUGUUGGGAAAGAAAAGAAGCAGGUUAAUACCCGGAUGUUCUGACGGUACCCAAAGAAUAAGCACCGGCUAACUUCGUG
rnacentral:rRNA from 1 species